UACGGUCAUAUUACGCUGAAACACUGGUUCCUGUACGAUCACCGAAGUUAAGCAACGUCGAGCCUUGUCAGUACCUGGAUCAGUGAUCGCUUUGGAAUACCAGCUGCUGUAAG